AUGCUUCUCCUCCCGUCCCUUCUCCUUCCCCUUUCUCACAGCGGCCAUGGCGAUUGGCGGUGGUUGAUCUCAGGGACGGCAAGACGAUCACGGCGGCCGGAGAAAUCUCCUGUUAGGGUUUGUGCUCUCAUCAUGGAUGCUUGCGACAAACUGAAUGUGCGGUUUAAUUUCGGUGGGCAAUUUGUUCGAAUUGGACCUACUUUAGACUAUGUUGGUGGAGAUGAUGCAAUGUCAGAGAUUGAAAGGGAUAAAUUAUCUUUGCCAGAGAUCAAAGGAUUUCUUGGUGAUCACAUACCUUUCAAAGAAAGUAUGAAGCUUUACUUCCUGAUCCCUGGUAAAAAACUAGUGGAUGGCCUAUUAUUUUUGUGUGAUGAUGCUGGCUGUAUGAAGAUGUCUGAAUACAUAACUGAUGGAGGAGUGGCUGAGGUCUAUGUGGAGUACUUUGGGGAGCAAGAUGAUCAAAGUGCAAGUGACAGUGGUAGUGAUUUUGAAAAUGAGAUGGGCAAUGAGUUAGAUGGAGGGAGUGAUACAGAACCAGAUGCAGUCAUAACUGCAGAGGAAGAUGUUCAGAUAAUUAGUGGAAAUCCAUCAUCAUUGACUGCAAAAGAAAGUGUGCUUGUACCAAAUGAUAGUGGUGUUAUAACCCAGGUUAUUAGCAGCCCUACAAAGCACAAUUUCAGAAUGAAACAGAGGACUAAAAGUGCACAUGUUGAGAUACAGAGUUUACAAAUUGAGGCACAAAGUUCUCAGGAUCAGCUACAUACCUCUCAGGUCAUUAAUCCAGGAACACAUAGUGAUAAUGCAGCAGACCAACAUACAUAUGAACAUGAGAGUGAUGACAGUGGCUCUGCUAUUUCAGACAGUGAGGAAGAUGAUAGUGAUUAUGUGGCAGGAAGUGAUGAGAGUGGACUGGAAGAGGAAUAUGUUGAGCUAAGGGAACAAGCAAGGGCUUUUAAGAAGAGAAUUAGAGACUCAAAGAGAUGGGCUAAGAGAAAUCCAUCUGGUGCCGUUCCAAUAGAUCUAGUGGCUAAUGUGGAAGAAGUGGUAGGAGAAGACCACUUCGACUCAGAUGACGAAGAUUACUCAUACGAUGAGGACAGUGAUCAUGAAGGAGAAUUUGUUAGGAGGAAGACUAAGUUCCCAAGGUAUAACCCUAAGGUAGAUAUUCCACUAUUCUGCUUAGGAAUGGUUUUCAGGAGCAAGGAUCAGAUGAGAAAGGCACUAAUAAAAUAUGGACUCCUGACAUUUAGAAGUAUAAACUUCAUGAAGUCAGAAGAAGGGAGGAUUAGGGCUAAAUGUGGAUGGCCUGGAUGUCCCUGGACUAUAUAUGGUGCUUAUACUAGCAGGUGUUCUAGAUUCCAGGUGAUCACAUAUGAAGAUCAACAUGAGUGUGCACCUAACAGAGACAAUCAUCUUGUCACUGCAAAAGUUAUUGCUAGGAGAUAUGAGCAUAUCUUAAGAGCGAACCCCACAUGGAAAAUUGAUAGCAUUAAAGCCACUGUUUUGAAAGAUUUCUUUGCUGAUGUAUCAACUUCAAAGUGCAAGGCUGCUAAGAAGAUAGUGUCAGAGAAGCUACUUGCUGGACUGAAAGAUGAGUACACCAAGGUGUUUGAUUACCAGCUUGAACUACUUAGGAGCAAUCCUGGGAGCACAAUCCUUGUUGGCUUGGACCCUGAAUACAUGGAUCAAAAUAUCUUCCAAAGCUUUUAUGUGUGCUUUAGUGCUAUGAAACAGGGUUUUAAAGCAUGCAGAAGAGUUAUUGGGCUUGAUGGUUGUUUUUUCAAAGGAGCAUGUCAAGGUGAGUUGCUAUGUGCUAUUGGUAGAGAUGCUAAUAAUCAAAUGUAUCCAGUAGCUUGGGCAGUAGUGGAGAAAGAAACAACCGAAACUUGGGAGUGGUUUAUUGGCCUGUUGAUAAAGGACUUGGAUAUUAAUGAUCAAGGUGAAGGAUGGGUGUUCAUAUCAGAUCAGCAGAAGGGCUUGAUCAGUGCAAUGCAAGACUACUUGCCAAAGGCACAACAUAGAAUGUGUGCUAGACACAUCUAUGCUAACUGGAAAAAGAAGUUUAGAGAGCAUGCUUUGCAAAAGAAAUUCUGGGCAAUUGCCAAGGCUGCAAACAGAGAAGACUUCAUGUAUAGGAAGGCCAAGUUAGCUCAAGAUACACCUGAAGGUGCAAGGGACAUAAUGAGGACAGAGCCUAAGCAUUGGGCAAGAGCAUUCUUUCCUGUUGGAUCCCUUUGUGACUCAGUGGAUAACAAUCUAUGUGAGUCCUUCAACAAUGCUAUAGUUGAGGCCAGAUUCUAUCCUAUCAUCUCUAUGCUAGAGAAAAUUAGACACAAGAUGACACUUAGAGUCCAAGAAAAUAGGAGCAAAAGUGCAAAGUGGACAUCUAGUGAUAUAUGCCCAAACAUUUUCAAGAAGCUUAAGGUGGCCAUCAAAAUGACUCAGUUCUGUGAUGUUCUCUGGAAUGGCAAGGAAGGGUUCGAGGUGAAACAUGUGAGUGGCAGAGGAAGGAGCUAUACAGUAAACUUAGACAAAUGGACUUGCUCUUGUGGUUACUUUCAGCUGGCAGGGCUGCCUUGCUGCCAUGCCAUCAGUGCCAUAUACAAGAGUGGAAGAAACAUAGCUGAUUUCAUUCACAAGUGCUAUUCAGUUGAGCAAUUUAAGAAGAUAUAUGAGCACUGCUUGGAUCCAGUAGAAGGACAGGAGAGAUGGCCUGUCUCAGACAAACCUAGACCACAAGCACCUGGGUAUGUGAGUAUGCCAGGUAGGCCUAGGAAGAAUGACAGGAAGAGGGAAGAGGGAGAAGCACCUAAAGGAAAGAAAAUGUCAAAGCAUGGCACUAAAAUUACUUGCAGCAUGUGUGGCCACAAGGGCCACAACAAGACAGGCUGCAACAAGAAUCCUGAAAAGGGGAAGAAGAAGAAUGCCUUCCUGAAGAAAACAGGCAGGAAAAUGAAGUCAUCUGAGCAAGCAAACACUGAUGCUCAGAUCAGAGCAAGCCAGCAGGCUAAGAGCGGAGGAGAAGUUGAAGCACAAGCAAGAAUAAGUGGAGGGAAGAGGAAGGCUACAAACAAACAGAAUGUGCAAGCCAAGAAAAAAUCAAAGAAAUGA
rnacentral:rRNA from 1 species